rnacentral:rRNA from 1 species
GAUGAACGCUAGCGACAGGCUUAACACAUGCAAGUCGAGGGGCAGCGGGGGUAGCAAUACCCGCCGGCGACCGGCGCACGGGUGAGUAACGCGUAUGCAACUUACCUAUCAGAGGGGGACUAACCCGGCGAAAGUCGGACGUAAUACCGCAAUGAAGCGAGGGGCCCCGCAGUGGGGAUAUUUGACUAAAGAUUCAUCGACUUGAUAGAUAGGCAUGCGUUCCAUUAGGCUAGUUGGG